rnacentral:lncRNA from 1 species
AGCAAUUUAUAACCAACUCGAAGAGCUUCAUAUGAACUAAUCAAGCACUUAUUUUAGAGAUUAACCGGAUAGAGACAGUAAUUGGAAUUACCCUACGGUUUCAAUCAAAACCAAUAUAUCAAGGAAUUUGGACACCCAGAUAUAUCAUUUUCUAAACAUACAUUCAAUCAUUUUCUCAUUUAAUGAAAAUAAUACAAGGAAUUGGGACUAACCUAGUUUAAUUCAAAGCUCAGUCAACAGCAGUCACAACGCGAUUUCCAAUCUCAGCUUGAACACCCAGAUAUAUCAACUUAAAUUUCUAAACUCGACCACAAAAUACAACUUGAUUCAAGUCGAUUGCAGCAACAACAAAAUAGGAAGAAACUACAGCGACUCGACCCGACGACCUCUCAUAAUCCCGACAAACUAGAACUCAAACGGGUUGGUUUUGGAGCUGAUUUUCAGUGAGCUAUUAGAGCUCUAUCUGGCUGGAUUUGGUGGCUGAUUGCAGCAAGUUUCAGCUGCCUUUUUGGGGUAUAUUUGGACUAUUUUUCGAGCAGAUUUUCGCCGGGUUUUGGGGCUGUUUUUCAGCAGUUCUUCAGCGGGAUUUUGUAACUGAUUUAGAGCAGUUUCAGGGCGUUCUUUUGGAGGUGAUUAGCGACUGGAUUUUUGGGUGUUAUGUUGUGUGUGUUCUUAGGAAAAAAUGGGGAAAUUCGCGUGUCCUCCCUUCUUCUAUCUGAUCUCUGUAUUUGUAUGUGAAGGAGUGAAAAAGAAGGGUUGAAAAAUUGGGGAACGAGACACGCCUCUCUCCCGGUCAGAAAUUGGAAUUACCCUACGGUUUCAAUCAUAACCAAUACAAAGCACACCUUAGAGCAACAUAAAUUCUAAUCUGAAGAGGUCUACGGAAACUCAACAUACAUUCAAUCAUUUUCACAUUUAAUGAAAAUAAUACAAGGAAUUUGGGACUGACCUAGUUGAAAUCAAAGCUCAGUCAACCGCAGUCACAACGUGAUUUCCAAUCUCAGCUUGAACACCCAGAUAUAUCAACUUCAAUUUCUGAACUCGACCACAAAAUACACCUCGAGUCAAGUCGAUUGCAGCGACAACAAAACAGAAAGCAACUACAACGAACUUGACCCGACGACCUCACAUAAUCUCGACAAACUCGAACUCAAACGAGUUGGUUUUUGGAGCUGAUUUUCAGUGAGCUCUUAGAGCUCUAUAUGGCUGGAUUUGGUGGCUGAUUGCAGCAAGUUUCAGCUGCCUUUUUCGGGUAUUUUUGAACUAUUUUUCGAGCACAUUUUCGCUGGGUUUUGGGGCUUUUUUCAGCAAUUCUUCAGCGGGAUUUUGUAACUGAUUUGGGGCAGUUUUAGGGCGUUCUUUUGGAGGUGAUUAGCGGCUGGAUUUAAGGUGUUCUGUUGUGUGUGUUCUUACGAAAAAAUGGGGAAAUUCACGUGUCCUCCCUUCUUCGUUCUGGAUCUCUAUAUUUGUAUGUGAAGGAGUAGAGAAGAAGGGUUGAAAAAUUGGGGAAUGAGACACGAGGAAAAGAACAGCAUUCAGCUAAAUGGUUGAGCUGUUUGGCCC